GUGCGCCUAACACAUGCAAGUCGAGCGGACGAAAUCUUGCUUGCAAGAUCUAGUUAGCGGCGGACGAGUGAGGAACGCGUAAGAACCAACCCCUAGGCGGGGGACAACAGCUGGAAACGGCUGCUAAUACCCCAUAUGCUGCGGAGUGAAAGGUGUAAACCACCUAGGGACGGGCUUGCGUCUGAUUAGCUAGUUGGGGAGGUAAAUGCUCACCAAGGCGACGAUCAGUAGCUGGUCUGAGAGGAUGAUCAGCCACGCUGGAACUGAGACACGGUCCAGACUCUUACGGGAGGCAGCAGUGAGGAAUUUUCCGCAAUGGGCGAAAGCCUGACGGAGCGACACGGCGUGGAGGAUGAAGGCCCGUGGGUCGUAAACUCCUUUUCUUAGAGAAGAACAAAUGACGGUAUCUAAGGAAUAAGCACCGGCUAACUCUGUGCCAGCAGCCGCGGUAAUACAGAGGGUGCAAGCGUUAUCCGGAUUGAUUGGGCGUAAAGCGUCUGUAGGUGGAUUUUUAAGUCUGCUGUCAAAUCCCAGGGCUCAACCCUGGACAGGCAGUAGAAACUAAAAGUCUUGAGUACGGUAGAGGCAGAGGGAAUUCCCGGUGUAGCGGUGAAAUGCGUAGAGAUCGGGAAGAACACCAAUGGCGAAAGCACUCUGCUGGGCCGAAACUGACACUCAGAGACGAAAGCUAGGGGAGCGAACGGGAUUAGAUACCCCGGUAGUCCUAGCCGUAAACGAUGGAUACUAGGCGUUUCACCACCAUUCGGUGGUGGAGUGCCGUAGCUAACGCGUGAAGUAUCCCGCCUGGGGAGUACGAUCGCAAGAUUGAAACUCAAAGGAAUUGACGGGGGCCCGCACAAGCGGUGGAGCAUGUGGUUUAAUUCGAUGCAACGCGAAGAACCUUACCAGGGCUUGACAUGCCACGAUUCUCUGAAUCGGAUUCGUUGAAAGACGAUGUAGGACACAGGUGGUGCAUGGCUGUCGUCAGCUCGUGUCGUGAGAUGUUGGGUUAAGUCCCGCAACGAGCGCAACCCUCGUCUUUAGUUGCCGGUUUUCCGGAAAUCUAGAGAGACUGCCGGUGAUAAGUCGGAGGAAGGUGGGGAUGACGUCAAGUCAGCAUGCCCCUUACGCCCUGGGCUACACACGUGCUACAAUGGUCGAGACAAAGAGAUGCGAACCUGCGAAGGCAAGCUAACCUCAAAAACUCGAUCUCAGUUCGGAUUGCAGGCUGAAACUCGCCUGCAUGAAGCCGGAAUCGCUAGUAAUCGCAGGUCAGCUAUACUGCGGUGAAUCCGUUCCCGGGCCUUGUACACACCGCCCGUCACACCAUGGAAGCUGGCUACGCCCAAAGUUGUUACCUUAACCGUUUGGAGGGGGGCACCUAAGGCAGAGCUAGUGACUAGGGUGAAGUCGUAACAAGGUAGCCGUACUGGAAGGUGCGGCUGGAUCACCUCCUUA
rnacentral:rRNA from 1 species